UAGGGAAUUUUGGGCAAUGGGCGAAAGCCUGACCCAGCAACGCCGCGUGUGGGAUGAAGGCCCUCGGGUCGUAAACCACUGUCAGGAGGAAAGAAAAGUCGGCCGGAUAAUACUCGGUCGACCUGACGGUACCUCCAAAGGAAGCACCGGCUAACUCCGUGCCAGCAGCCGCGGUAAUACGGAGGGUGCAAGCGUUGUUCGGAAUUACUGGGCGUAAAGCGCGUGUAGGUGGUCGAGUAAGUCGAAUAUGAAAGCCCCGGGCUCAACCCGGGAAGUGCAUCCGAAACUGCUCGACUAGAGUCCCGGAGAGGAGGGCAGAAUUCCCAAUGUAGGGGUGAAAUCCGUAGAUAUUGGGAGGAAUACCGGUGGCGAAGGCGACCUUCUGGACGGUGGCUGACACUCAGACGCGAAAGCGUGGGGAGCAAACAGGAUUAGAUACCCAUGUAGUCCCUGAGCGGGCUGGCAAGGCGCAU
rnacentral:rRNA from 1 species